CACCUACUAGCUAGCUUAAACAAC
rnacentral:rRNA from 1 species